rnacentral:tRNA from 1 species
GGAGGGUAUAGCUCAAGUGGUAGAGCACAUGCUUAGGAUGCAUGAGGUCCUGGGUUCAAUCCCCAGUAUCUCUA